GGAGAGGUCGCAUAGUGGUCUAGUGCGCUUGCUUGGAAAGCAAGUAGGGUGUCAAAGCCCUCGCAGGUUCGACUCCUGUCCUCUCCG
rnacentral:tRNA from 1 species